rnacentral:lncRNA from 1 species
GCACGGCAGUCGUUUGAAGAAAAAACUGGAGAGAUGGGGGAUGGAAGCCUGGGAGUCACAUUUUUUCAAGCAAGACAUCACAGAGGGUGAGGCCCAGUGACAGAGAUGACAGAUAUUCAAAGAUGGAAUGAAAGAGGUUUGGUGACUGGAUAUAAGCAACGAAACAGGAAGAAUUGAAUUUGGGUCUGAUAUUUCCUGGAUGCAAGAUCAGGAGGAUGUUGGCACCAUGGCUUAGUGGGGAAACUGGGGACCGAUUCUGGAGGUAUACCAGCAUGGUGAGUUUGGUUUUAGAUGGGUUGUGUUUGACAUAGGGCUAGCAAUUCUAAGUGAAGAUGUCUAAAGAAAGAUAGAAGUGACUCAGCUCUGAAGUUCUGAAAUGAUCAGCCAUCAGCGUGGCAUGAGGAAGACCUAGGAACAGACAGACUGGGGAGAAGACACAGAGCCAAGCAGGACCUGGCCUGCAGCCCAAACCCUGUGGAAUCCCUACAUUCAAGGACCAGGUUGAAGUGAAGCCAUUGACAGGAACUGAGAUGCAGUAGUGUUCUGGAAGUCAAGUGAGGAGGAGGAUUGAAGAAGAGGUUGGUCAAAAUUCUGGGGGUUGCCCAGUGGAAACACCAGACUGCAAAGCUUUGAGAAGUCUGUAUGAGAUGAACAACUGGAAAAGGUUCUUCGUGAAGAAUUUGUGUGGUGAAGAGCUGGAAUAGCGGCUUGAGGGAGAGAAGCCAGAUGGAGUCUCACUCUGUCGCCCAGGCUGGAGUACA